GCGGGGUGGAGCAGCCCGGUAGCUCGUCAGGCUCAUAACCUGAAGGUCGCAGGUUCAAAUCCUCUACCGCCCA
rnacentral:tRNA from 1 species